UACGUAGGGACCGAGCGUUGUCCGGAAUCAUUGGGCGUAAAGGGUGCGCAGGCGGUCCCGCAUGUCGGGCGUGAAAUCCCCGGGCUUAACCUGGGAAUGGCGUCCGAAACUAUGGGACUGGAGUGUGGCAGAGGGAGGUGGAAUUCCACGUGUAGCGGUGAAAUGCGUAGAGAUGUGGAGGAACACCGAUGGCGAAGGCAGCCUCCUGGGCCAACACUGACGCUCAUGCACGAAAGCGUGGGGAGCAAACAGG
rnacentral:rRNA from 1 species